rnacentral:sRNA from 1 species
CUAUCUAUCUAUCUAUCUAUCUAUCUAUCUAGCAUAUGAUCAAUGUAAACAAAACAUUCUAGUGUGUUAACGCAGUCACUGACUUCUAGUACAAACGAACUGAUAAGCCGACAAGCAUGAACAUUGUUUGACCAUUGUACUCGAGCAACGAGAAAACAAGAUAGGAGGGGGGAGGAGCGGUGAGAUAAAUGAGAGGCAGGGAAACACUUUAUACAUGUGUAGGUUUUUUUGGAUGGAGACGUUAGAGAAAUAGUUUGUACAGAGUUUUGAACAUGUAGUUUUAACUUUUUAGCUUAGCUGACUUUAUGAUCAAUAUAAACAUACGAAAUAUUAAAACACUGUGUGUGAAUGUUUGCAUCUAUAUUGUUAUUGUUACAGUGAUUACGCUGAAGUGAUUAAUUGUAGUCAAACUGAGUUUCAAAUUGACUGAAGCAAUACAAAUUAUAUUACUUUAUGUAAAUAUAAGCAUUCAAUAAAAUGCCACAUGCAACAUCUAG